GCGAGGUGAAAGUUGGUAGCGUGCAUGGUGUCAUGAACCGUGAUAGGGUGGUUCGAUUCCACCGCCUCGCA
rnacentral:tRNA from 1 species